UACGUAGGGUGCAAGCGUUAAUCGGAAUUACUGGGCGUAAAGCGUGCGCAGGCGGUUUUGUAAGUCUGUCGUGAAAUCCCCGGGCUCAACCUGGGAAUUGCGAUGGAGACUGCAAGGCUAGAAUCUGGCAGAGGGGGGUAGAAUUCCACGUGUAGCAGUGAAAUGCGUAGAGAUGCGGAGGAACACCGAUGGCGAAGGCAGCCCCCUGGGCCAAUACUGACGCUCAGGCACGAAAGGCGUGGGGAGCAAACGAGG
rnacentral:rRNA from 1 species